ACGAACGCUGGCGGCGUGGAUAAGACAUGCAAGUCGAACGGGAGAAUUGCUAGCUUGCUAAUAAUUCUCUAGUGGCGCACGGGUGAGUAACACGUGAGUAACCUGCCUCUUAGUGGGGGAUAGCCCUGGGAAACCGGGAUUAAUACCGCAUACGAUUGAAAGAUCAAAGCAGCAAUGCGCUAGGAGAUGGGCUCGCGGCCUAUUAGUUAGUUGGUGAGGUAACGGCUCACCAAGGCGAUGACGGGUAGCCGGUCUGAGAGGAUGUCCGGCCACACUGGAACUGAGACACGGUCCAGACACCUACGGGUGGCAGCAGUCGAGAAUCAUUCACAAUGGGGGCAACCCUGAUGGUGCGACGCCGCGUGGGGGAAUGAAGGUCUUCGGAUUGUAAACCCCUGUCAUGUGGGAGCAAAUUAAAAAGAUAGUACCACAAGAGGAAGAGACGGCUAACUCUGUGCCAGCAGCCGCGGUAAUACAGAGGUCUCAAGCGUUGUUCGGAAUCACUGGGCGUAAAGCGUGCGUAGGCUGUUUCGUAAGUCGUGUGUGAAAGGCAGGGGCUCAACCUCUGGAUUGCACAUGAUACUGCGAGACUAGAGUAAUGGAGGGGGAACCGGAAUUCUCGGUGUAGCAGUGAAAUGCGUAGAUAUCGAGAGGAACACUCGUGGCGAAGGCGGGUUCCUGGACAUUAACUGACGCUGAGGCACGAAGGCCAGGGGAGCGAAAGGGAUUAGAUACCCCUGUAGUCCUGGCAGUAAACGGUGCACGCUUGGUGUGCGGGGAAUCGACCCCCUGCGUGCCGGAGCUAACGCGUUAAGCGUGCCGCCUGGGGAGUACGGUCGCAAGAUUAAAACUCAAAGAAAUUGACGGGGACCCGCACAAGCGGUGGAGUAUGUGGCUUAAUUCGAUGCAACGCGAAGAACCUUACCUGGGCUUGACAUGUAAUGAACAACAUGUGAAAGCAUGCGACUCUUCGGAGGCGUUACACAGGUGCUGCAUGGCCGUCGUCAGCUCGUGUCGUGAGAUGUUUGGUUAAGUCCAGCAACGAGCGCAACCCCUGUUGCCAGUUACCAGCACGUCAAGGUGGGGACUCUGGCGAGACUGCCCAGAUCAACUGGGAGGAAGGUGGGGACGACGUCAGGUCAGUAUGGCCCUUAUGCCCAGGGCUGCACACGUACUACAAUGCCCAGUACAGAGGGGGCCGAAGCCGCGAGGCGGAGGAAAUCCUGAAAACUGGGCCCAGUUCGGACUGUAGGCUGCAACCCGCCUACACGAAGCCGGAAUCGCUAGUAAUGGCGCAUCAGCUACGGCGCCGUGAAUACGUUCCCGGGUCUUGUACACACCGCCCGUCACAUCAUGGAAGCCGGUCGCACCCGAAGUAUCUGAAGCCAACCGCAAGGAGGCAGGGUCCUAAGGUGAGACUGGUAACUGGGAUG
rnacentral:rRNA from 1 species